rnacentral:rRNA from 1 species
UACGUAGGGGGCAAGCGUUGUCCGGAAUCAUUGGGCGUAAAGAGCGUGUAGGCGGCCCGGUAAGUCCGCUGUGAAAGUCCAGGGCUCAACCCUGGGAUGCCGGUGGAUACUGUCGGGCUCGAGUCCGGAAGAGGAGUGUGGAAUUCCUGGUGUAGCGGUGAAAUGCGCAGAUAUCAGGAGGAACACCAAUGGCGAAGGCAGCACUCUGGGGACGUGACUGACGCUGAGACGCGAAAGCGUGGGGAGCAAACAGGAU